CUCGGUGGGGGUUGGCUGAUCCUGCUGCUGAUCCUGUGAGCGCCCGGGCGUCCAGCGCGAGCCUUUUAAAGGGGAUGCUGCUCAGGGUGACGUCACUGUGCAAAGCCUGCCCCCGCUUUAUGUCUGACGUCACAGGACAAUGAGGAGACACGCCAACACCUUGAGGACCUCCGCCAUGACCACGGCUGACGUGGCCAGGAAGCCCUCGCCUGGCAAUGUGCGCACGUAUUGGAUGCUGAGGAUAAGCGACGCAUUCUGGACCACCAGCACUGCCAGACUUAUGUACUUCAGCUUGUGGUUCACUGACACUGAUACACACAUACACAAACAAAUACACAACCAUCUUGUCACCGUCAGGUAUGUACCAAAAACCAUAAUCAUCCAGCAAAUUGAGAAAAGAACAUUCAUGAGCACAACAUGAAUAAAAACACAUCACGUUAAAUCA